rnacentral:rRNA from 1 species
CUUGGUAACUGGAUUUCGGUUCCGGUAGGGGUAAGCGAAAUUUCUUGGCGUGGCGGUGAAAGGCGUGGUAUUCAGGCGGAACACCGGGGGCGAAGGCGGGGUACUGGACGGUAUCGGCGUUAUGGCUCGAAAAGCGUGGGGAGCAUAACACGAAUUAGAUACCCUUGUUAGCCCCACCCCGUCAACGAUGAAUACUAAGAUGUUGGGUGCCCAGAGGCAUUCGGUCCGCCGCAAACGCAUUAAGUAUUUCCCCUUGGGGAGUACGUUUCGCAAGAAUGAAACUCAAAGGUAUUGACGGAGACCCGCCCAAGCGGUGCACCAUGGGGUUUAAUUCGUAGCAACGCGAAGAACCUUACCAAGUCUUGACAUCCCCCUGACAGAUGGAGCAAGGUCCAUUUCCUUUCGGGGCAGGGGAGUCAGGUGGUGCAUGGUUGUUGUCAGCUCGUGUCGUGAGAUGUUGGGUUAAGUCCCGCAACGAGCGCAACCCCUGCCCCCAGUAGCCUGCGGUUUGGCGGGGCACUUUGGGGGGCCUGCCAGGGACAACCUGGAGGAAGGCGGGGAUGACGUCAAAUCAUCAUGCCCCUUAUGAUUUGGGCUACACACGUGCUACAAUGGCGUAAACAAAGGGAAGCGAACCCGCGAGGGAGGGCAAAUCCCAAAAACAACGUCCCAGUUCGGACUGCAGUCUGCAACCCGACUGCACGAAGCUGGAAUCGCUAGUAAUUGCAGAUCAGCAUGCUGCGGUGAAUACGUUCCCGGGUCUUGUACACAC